rnacentral:lncRNA from 12 species
GGCCCAUCCAAUUAACUCACUUGUCGAGAAAUCAGAAUAAAUAGUUGAGAGGAGACGUCUGGGGCUUCUGCUCAGACCUUUAUUUCUUAUUUGUUUGCCUGCUUAAGCAGGUCUGCAGUCACCAGCAUGUAGAUUUAGGGGCGAGGAGGAAAGAGUACACGUCUUCCCCCUUGGUCCUCCCCUUCGAGGGAAGAAAGGGGGCAGUUUCCCUGCCUCUUGGACUCGAAUUCUGGUGAGCUUCUGUCUUGGAAAAGUGUGGUGGAGGCAAACCUGGUGUGUUCGCGCGGGGUCUCAGGCUAGUGCUUUUGUUCAGUCAGAGACAAGGCCAGAAAUUUCUCCAUGUCCUUAGGUUUUCCCCUGUGGCUGGCAGGCGUUGGAGCCGUUAGCCGGGGACAGCCCAGCUGGUCAUGACAGCUGCCCAAGGGAGCCCCAACGCCUCAGACAAGUCCCCUGGCAGGGAGCGCCCCGGGGCACGUAGGGCACGGGCAGCAGCCACUGGCACCCGGGGUCACCCCUGAGGUGGGGCGCUGACAAGGCGCCCUGGGGAAAGAGGCCCUGCUGUGUCAGUGAGGUCCUGAAGAGAGAAGCCCCCGGGGACGUGGCAGGGGAGUCUCCUCAGGAAGAUGCUGAUCACCCCCUUCUCUGUGUGGACUCCCAGCCCUGUGCUUCUGGAACCGGCCUUCCCUAGGCUCCGAGCCAGGCCUCCCACCCCACUCCCACCCCAGCCUCCAGGCCACCUCCCCUUUCCAGCCUUUGCCCUCCCAGGUGGGGCUGACACCCCUGUUUCUCCCACAGUGGGGACAGCCUCAUCCGAGGCUAAAGUGUUUUCUGAUCUUUGCUCUGGUGAGCAAGGGCCCGGGGAACGAGGCCCCGGGGCGGAGGGAAGGGGGAAGGCCGAGCUGCCCGGGCAGCCAGUCAGCCAGUCAGUCAGCCAGUCGUCAGCCAGUCAGCCAGUCAGUCAGUCAGAAGUCAAAGGCUCUUUCUUCAAGGGCUGCGGUCUAACUUGCCUUUGUGCCGCGGCGCUGCUUCCAUUUCAAAGGCUUCGCCAGCGAAUCGCAGGCUGUAUACCAAUAAGCGCGUGCAAGAAAGUAUUUCCUCCUCAAGCCUGUUCCUCGGGGCCCCUUGCAAAGACCGCUCCAGCUCUGCUGGGAAAGACACUGUGCCGUGAUCUUGGACCCAACUCCAGGCAGCCCAGGACUCCAGCGCUCAAGAAGAAUCAGAAGAGAGUCCGAGAAAGAGCAUUCCCUGUCUCAAUGCUCAAAGCACACCUCACAUAUUGGAGGAUGGCAGAAACACACAAGCUGUGUUAUCAAUAAAGGAGCUGACCAACACAGAUGAGUUUGAAAUUCUUGCUCUGGGCCAUAUGGAGUGGAUAUUCCAGAAGGAAAUUAUAUACUGCUCUCUGUUUCUACUCAACUGCUUUUCACUUUGUCAAGUGGACCCUUUGAAGCAGCCUUCUCCUUACCUCACAUUCUGACAUGAAUAAUUGUUUAAUUGCCUUUCAGUCUACACAAGAUAAGGAACCAUGUCUCAAAAUUGUAUAAUUCUCUUAACUAAACAAUAGCGGAACCACCCAGAGCAGUUUUCAAAGAAAGAAAAGAAUUUCUUACAUAUGUUAAGCAUUUUAUUAUUUUCAAAGUGCUUCGCUCUGUAGUAUUUUCUUAAAUUGGAUAAUGCAUACAAAGCACUGUGUAAAUUGUAUCAUAUAACAAAGGAAUGAGAUUUAUAAUGAUUAUUGAUUUGAUUUUCCUUG